AACGAACGCUGGCGGCGUGUCUUAAGCAUGCAAGUCGAGCGGCAAGGAGGAGCAAUCCUCCCUAGAGCGGCGGACUGGUGAGUAACGCGUGGAUGAUCUACCUUUGGGAUGGGGAUAGCCAUUAGAAAUAGUGGGUAAUACCGAAUACGCUUGCGUGGUUACGGCCACGUAAGGAAAGGCGCUCCGGCGCCACCCAUUGAUGAGUCCGCGUCAGAUUAGCUAGUUGGCGGGGUAAAGGCCCACCAAGGCGAUGAUCUGUAGCCGGCCUGAGAGGGUGUACGGCCACAUUGGGACUGAGAUACGGCCCAAACUCCUACGGGAGGCGGCAGCUAAGAAUAUUCCGCAAUGGACGAAAGUCUGACGGAGCGACGCCGCGUGGAUGAGGAAGGCCGAAAGGUUGUAAAAUCCUUUUGUCGAGGAAGAAUAAGCGUGGGAGGGAAUGCCCGCGUGAUGACACGAAUCGGCGAAUAAGCCCCGGCUAACUACGUGCCAGCAGCCGCCGCCU
rnacentral:rRNA from 1 species